rnacentral:rRNA from 1 species
CCUGCCAGUAGUCAUAUGCUUUGUUCAAGGGCUAAGCCAUGCAUGUCUCAGCGCAAGUGGGUCUCAACAACAGGUCUGUGAAUGGCUCCUUACAUCAGCAGUCAUCUCUGUGAUAGAGUGUGAAUGGCAGAAUCAGCUGCCCAUUGGACAUCCUCCAAAACCUGGUGGCUAAUACACGCACGAAACAGUCUGCCACAGCAAGGUUGGCGCCAAGGACUCUGUCCUGCUGACCGUGGUGGAUUGCAACCAGCCGAGUGAAAGACCAGCACCAGGCAAUGGUAGUGAGUCCAGAGCUGAGUCAGGCUGGUCCCAAUGGGACACCAGCCCUGGCGAUUCUGCGUGGCAUGUCCACAGCAAGUCUUGCUUGAUCACAUGAACUUCUGACCUAUCAGCUUGGACUGUGGUGUAGUGGACCACAGUGGCUCUAACGGGUGACAGAGAAUCAGGGUUCGAUUCUGGAGAGGGAGCCUGAGAGAUGGCUACCACCGCCAAGGCGGGCAGCAGGCGCGCAAAUUGCCCAAUGUAGACACAGUUCUGCGAGGCAGCAACGAACAGCAGCAACUCCAAGGAUCGAUCGGUCCGAGGAGCUUGGAAUGGAUGCUAUCCAAACACAGUGAUGAUUAGCAACUGGAGGGCAAGUCUGGUGCCAGCAGCUGCGGUAAUUCCAGCUCCAAGGGCGUAUACUAACAUUGCUGCUGUUAAAGCACUUGUAGUCAGCCACUGGGCUGCAGGUCUGUUUGGGGCCAGUGUGCGCUAGUUACCUUCGGGUGGCUGGUGUGCUCUGGAUCUACCCCCAGGCAGUAUGUCCCUGCUCCCGCAUCAUCAGAUGGUGUGAGUGCUCCUGCACGAAGCCCCCUUCACUGGGGGCCCAGGCGGUUUCUGCAACCGAGGCUUGUGUCUCUGGGCAAUAGAUCCCCAGGGUCCUCGUGGCCACUGGGGAAGCCCUACCAACCGGAGUCCACCAUCAGUGCCACCCUGGAAAACUCAGUGUGCUCCAAGCGUCCAGAGAUAUCUGAUUGGCUGAAUGAUCAUCCGCGGAAUGGCAAAGCACCGACCUGAUGUGGCAACAGAGUUGUGCUGGCCUUGGGGCCCAAUCAGGGCAAUGUGGUUCUGUUCCCUGGCACUUUCACUGGGGAUUGCCGUUAUGGCGGUCUCUCUGUGUCAGUCCAAAUGUGGCAGUAUCCAAUCGUCGAUGAUGGAAGCUCUCGAGGUGAAAGCUAUUGCAGCGCCAGAGGUGAAAUUCUUAGACCGCCGCAGGAGCACCGGCGGCGAAGGCGUUCUGCAAGCCAGUGUUCGUCGAUCAAGAAUGUGAGCCUGGGGAUCAAAGAUGAUCAGACACCGUCGUAGUCCAGAGCCGUAAACAGUACCAGCUCGGUGCUGGUGGGACAUACCCUGAAUCCCAUCGGCGCCAGCCCUCCACAACGGGAAACCCAAGCCAUUGGGUUCAGGGGGGAGUACUGUCGCAAGGCUGGAACUUAAAGGAAUUGACGGAAUGGCACCACAAGGCGUGGAGUAUGCGGCUUAAUUUGACUCAACACGGGGAAUGUUACCAGGUCAGGACCCUGCAGGGAUGGACAGAUUGACAGCUCUUUCUUGAUUCUCGGGACGGUGGUGCAUGGCCGCUCCUGAUUGGUGGAGUGAUUUGUCUGGUUGAUUCCGAUAACGAGUGAGACAUCUGCCUUCCAGUAGCCCCGGGCUCGCAUCUGUAGGGAAUCGGCAUGUAUUGGCCAAGCUCAUCCGCCUGGAUUGGGCUGUUGGUCGUCUUGCCUCCCGAGAGCCUGUGGUCUUGCUUCUCUGAGGUGCUGCGCACGCUCCCAAGUGCGCGCAUGCUAGAGCCAACAGCAGGUCUGUGAUGCUCCCAGAUGUCCUGGGCCGCACGCGCACUACAUUGUCACAGUGAAGGUGUUUCCAGUGGAACCUUGGGACUCGUGCCCGAGGCCUGCCCAGAAGUGGGUGGGAAAUCAUUCGAGCCUGUGGCGUACUGGGGAUAGAUGAUUGCAACUGUCUGCCUUGAACAAGGAAUGCCUAGUAUGCCUGCGUCAUCAGCGCAGACCGAUUGUGUCCCUGCCAUUUGUACACACCGCCCGUCGUUGCUACCGAUGACAGCUGGAUAGAGCCAUCAGGAGGCCAAGAGCUCCAAGCUCCCAACCAAAAUUGGGCAAUGUCCAGCUCUUAGAGGAAGCAAAAGUC